CAAAUACUCCCUCCGUCCGAAAAUACUUGUCAUUAAAAUGGACAAAAAGAGAUGUACCUAGAACUAAAAUACAUCUAGAUACAUCCCCUUUUAUUUAUUUUGAUGACAAGUAUUUCCGGACGGAGGGAGUAUAAG
rnacentral:pre_miRNA from 1 species